AGGACGACGCUGGCGGCGUGCCUAACACAUGCAAGUCGAGCGGGGAAAACCCUUCGGGGGUUUUUCUAGCGGCGGACGGGUGAGUAACGCGUGAGCAAUCUGUCCCAUACAGGGGGAUAACAACUGGAAACAGUUGCUAAUACCGCAUGAGACCACAGAGCCGCAUGGUUCAGGGGUCAAAGGAGCAAUCCGGUAUGGGGUGAGCUCGCGUCCGAUUAGAUAGUUGGUGAGGUAACGGCCCACCAAGUCAACGAUCGGUAGCCGACCUGAGAGGGUGAUCGGCCACAUUGGAACUGAGACACGGUCCAAACUCCUACGGGAGGCAGCAGUGGGGAAUAUUGGGCAAUGGGCGAAAGCCUGACCCAGCAACGCCGCGUGAAGGAAGAAGGUUUUCGGAUUGUAAACUUCUGUCCUUGGUGACGAAGGAAGUGACGGUAGCCAAGGAGGAAGCCCCGGCUAACUACGUG
rnacentral:rRNA from 1 species